CGGGCAAGCCGGGUGAUCGCUGGGCUGGUCUUCGCAAGAAGGCUGGCCGGGAGGAAAGUCCGGACACCGUGGUCCUCAGCGCUGGAAGCCUGGGAUGAAAGUCCCUGGCGGAAAGCGUGUGGGACCAAAGGGCAACGCGCCUGGUAACGCCAGGGGGCUGACGCUUCGGCCGGUUCGCGCAAGCGAGCCGCGAGGUUUCGGCUACGGACAGUGCCACAGAAAAUAAACCGCCGGUGCAAAGCGCCUCGGUGGCCGGCUGGAGGAAAACCUUCAGCGGGUCUUGAAGAUGGUCCGCGCAAGCGGGCCGUCGAAGGCUGCAGUGCUCGGUAAGGGUGAAACGGUGGGGUAAGAGCCCACCGCUCGGCUGGCAACAGACGAGGCACGGCAAACCCCGCGUGGUGCAAGGCCAAAUAGGAGGGGAGAGCUGCCCAGCUCGUCAGGACCCUCGGGUAGGCUGCUGGAGUCCCGGUGCGAACCGGGACCUAGAGGAAUGAUCGCUACACCGCACAAGGCUAACCCUUUGUGCGGUGAACAGAAUCCGGCUUACAGGCUUGCCCGCCAU
rnacentral:RNase_P_RNA from 1 species